rnacentral:rRNA from 1 species
GACGAACGCUGGCGGCGUGCUUAACACAUGCAAGUCGAACGAAGUGGCGAACGGGUGAGUAAUACGUGGUUAACCUUCCCUCCUUUUUGGGAUAGGCCUUGGAAACGGGGUCUAAUACCGAAUAAAGGGGGAUGGGCUCGCGGCCUAUCAGCUUGUUGGUGGGAGUAUGGCCUCCCAAGGGGGUGACGGGUAGCCGGCCUGAGAGGGUGACCGGCCACAUUGGGACUGAGAUACGGCCCAGACUCCUACGGGACGCAGCAGUGGGAAAUACUGCCCAAGGAGGGAAACCCUGAUGCAGCAACGCCGCGUGCGGGAUGACGGCCUUCGGGUUGUAAACCGCUUUCAGCCAUGACGCGGUAGUGGCAGAAGAAGCACCGGCUAACUACGUGCCAGCAGCCGCGGUAAUUC